AUUUAUGUAGUUUAAUAAAAACCUUACAUUUUCACUGUAAAAAUAAAGUCUAUUUCAUAAAUA
rnacentral:tRNA from 1 species